AUGUGUUGAGUUGUCCCACAUCGGAGGGAUUUGAGGUCCUUGGUCUCCUUAUAUGGCUUGGGCAAUCCUCACCUUAUAAGCUAGCUUUUGACGUUGAGUUAGCCCCAAGGUCCAUUCUUAUCAUGGUAUCAGAGCCAGGCCCAUCCCAAUUAUUCUUACCGAUGUUGGGCCCCCAUUUUUGUUGUCCACGCUCCAGAGAUCUGG
rnacentral:lncRNA from 1 species